UAAAGUUUUGUAUUGAAUGAAAAACACAUACACAUAAUUCAUCAAAAUUAGUCUUGUGUUAAGCAACAAUGUGGUCUAUAGUAGUGGAUCCCAUUAGAGAUCUUAUUGCAAGAAUUAUGCAACAUGCCAUCCAUAAAGAUUUCCAUGAAAUUGUGUCUAAAAUGACACCCAUCGAUGCUUUUAUCUUCCUUGUACAAAUA
rnacentral:lncRNA from 1 species